rnacentral:rRNA from 1 species
GCAUAUCAAUAAGCGGAGGAAAAGAAACCAACAGGGAUUGCCCCAGUAACGGCGAGUGAAGCGGCAACAGCUCAAAUUUGAAAUCUGGCCUUCGGGUCCGAGUUGUAAUUUGGAGAGGAUGCUUUUGGCGCGGCGCCGUCCGAGUUCCUUGGAACAGGACGCCAUAGAGGGUGAGAGCCCCGUACGGGCGGCCGCCUAGCCUUUGUAAAGCUCCUUCGACGAGUCGAGUAGUUUGGGAAUGCUGCUCAAAAUGGGAGGUAAAUUUCUUCUAAAGCUAAAUACCGGCCAGAGACCGAUAGCGCACAAGUAGAGUGAUCGAAAGAUGAAAAGCACUUUGAAAAGAGGGUUAAAAAGUACGUGAAAUUGUUGAAAGGGAAGCGCCUGUGACCAGACUUGCGACCCGUGGAUCAUCCGGUGUUCUUCACCGGUGCACUCCGCGGGCUGCAGGCCAGCAUCGGUUUUCCUAGGGGGAUAAAGGUCGCAGGAACGUAGCUCUUUCGGGAGUGUUAUAGCCUGUGGCGUCAUGCCUCUGGGGAGACCGAGGACCGCGCUUCGGCAAGGAUGCUGGCGUAAUGGUCACCGGCGACCCGUCUUGAAACACGGACCAAGGAGUCAAGCAUUGGGGCGAGUGUCUGGGUGCCAAACCCGCACGCGAAAUGAAAGUAAACGCAGGUGAGAGCUUCGGCGCAUCACCGACCGAUCCUGAUGUCUUCGGAUGGAUUUGAGUAAGAGCCUUACCGCUUGGACCCGAAAGAUGGUGAACUAUGCCUGUAUAGGGUGAAGCCAGAGGAAACUCUGGUGGAGGCUCGCAGCGGUUCUGACGUGCAAAUCGAUCGUCAAAUAUGGGCAUGGGGGGCGAAAGACUAAUCGAACCAUCUAGUAGCUGGUUACCGCC